rnacentral:rRNA from 1 species
UGCAUCGAUGAAGAACGCAGCGAAAUGCGAUACGUAGUGUGAAUUGCAGAAUUCCGCGAAUCAUCGAGUCUUUGAACGCAAGUUGCGCCCGAGGCUUGUCCGAGGGCAUUUCCGCUAGAGCGUCACCGCGCCCCCCACCGAUCCGCUCCCGCCGCGAGGCGCCAGUCGGGUCGAGUGCAAGUGGCCGUCCCGGCGAAGUGGCCUUCUUUCACGAGGAGGCCGUCCUUGGAAGGGUCGGCUGAAAUGGAUGGAAUCGGGCCGCCGUGGUGACACAGUCCGCGAUCGGGUGAUUUUGUCGCGAGCCUCCUGCGCUGCGGGAGGCUCUUGGUGAAUUUUUCUAAGUGCUUGGCUGCGUCCCCCAGUUGGCUCGGGUUACCUCAUGCAGGUCGAGCGCGCCCCCGCGGCGCGCGUCACGCAUCAGACCUCUAAUCGGA